GUCCUGGCAGUAAACGGUGCACGCUUGGUGUGGCAGGAUUCGACCCCUGCCGUGCCGGAGCUAACGCGUUAAGCGUGCCGCCUGGGAAGUACGGUCGCAAGAUUAAAACUCAAAGAAAUUGACGGGGACCCGCACAAGCGGUGGAGUAUGUGGCUUAAUUCGAUGCAACGCGAAGAACCUUACCUGGGCUUGACAUGCAUUUUGUCGUCUGUGAAAGCAGGCUAGAGGGUUAAACCUCGGGAUGCACAGGUGUUGCAUGGCUGUCGU
rnacentral:rRNA from 1 species